CACGUAGGGGACGAGCGUUGUCCGGAUUCAUUGGGCGUAAAGAGCGUGUAGGCGGCUAGGUAGGUCCGUUGUGAAAACUCGAGGCUCAACCUCGAGACGCCGGUGGAAACCAUCUAGCUAGAGUCCGGAAGAGGAGAGUGGAAUUCCUGGUGUAGCGGUGAAAUGCGCAGAUAUCAGGAAGAACACCCGUGGCGAAGGCGGCUCUCUGGGACGUGACUGACGCUGAGACGCGAAAGCGUGGGGAGCGAACAGG
rnacentral:rRNA from 1 species